AGUGAAAUUUUACUCAGUGAUCAGCCAGGCUGCAGUAGUCACCUACGUAUNNNNNNNNNNNNNNNNNNNNNNNNNNNNNNNNNNNNNNNNNNNNNGGGAAGAAGAGCUGCUGUAGUUCUGGUUAGCAUCUGCAUGCACUGUUCAAGGUUCAGCUUUCCAGGAAGAUACCUGAAGAUACUGCGGAGAGUGUAAAUACAUGAGAUUCUCACCUCUACGUGGUGUCCUAAGGAAUAGUUACGCCAUUCUGUACUGGCUACAGCAAGACCAUUCUACAGAAGAUCCUUUUCUGUUUAUGAGCUGUUCAUACUUUCUCAGACUAUGGAAGAAUUUCUGGUGAAGCUUCAUGUGGGCUAAGCUCUUUCUGUCUGAUCUAUGAUGACUGAUAUCCUUAUCUUCAUCUAUAAAGAGUUGAGACACUUGGCAACCACAAAGCAACAUGCUUUUCAGUAAGUACCCAGAAAACUCUACAUUUAUGCCACGAGUUACAAAAUUUUAGUAGUUUCUUUGCACUUCAGCAAAAGUUAUGGGGAGGGAAUUGUUAUCCACUCCGCUGAUGUUGAAGCUGUAGCAAUUUGAUUCUCAAUGGUGUUUGAUAGCCACAUCUCUUAAGUCUAGGGAUUGAGGAGAUAGCAGUUUAAGACAUAUAAGUUACUUAAUUUAUUAAAGCUUAAGGCAAGCUUUAAGUGACUUCAAUUCUUGGAUUUCACAAUGAUGUUAACCAUUUUUAGAGGGAAGAAAAUAUCUGCGGAAGGAAGAUAACAUAAAACAAAGCAUUUACGUUCAAAACAAAGUGGAGGUGAAGACAAGACUCCCUUUCAGACCUUUGUCUUCGGAUCUGCAGAUGUGGAGAUAUAUUUUCUUUGUUAUUGGGGAAAAGGCUGAGGAAAAAUUGGUUAUUUUUGUAUAGUUUAGACAAUAGCACAAACCUUUCAUUUACAAAACAGAAAAGAGGGCAGGGGUAGUUCAGCCAUGUCAAGCCUGCUGCUUUAUCUUUGUCUGCAAGAAAAAUGAUUGCAGUUUCAUUUUCUGAAAUUCAUUUUUUUGGCCACCGAUAAUCUUAUUUUCAUUUGAAGAUUUCAGUGAUUUCUUUCAGAUCUUUGUAGAAUCUGAGGAUUACAUUACUUGUAGGGAGCUCAGGUCAUUGUAUUGUGGCUGCUGCGGUGUCACUGAUUUGAAAAUUUGAUUCUCCAAAAUAAUGAAACAUAUAGCUAUAUAGGUUUACUUUCAGCUGGAAAACUGAGAGUCAGUUCCCAUGGCAGCCUCUCCGGCUCUAAAGAUGCUAUGGUCUGUUAGACUGUUGUGUAUC
rnacentral:lncRNA from 1 species